rnacentral:lncRNA from 10 species
GAGGUUCCUUUGUCAACGAAUUCAACAAAGCUGUAAGCAAAGCCAAUGGAAGAAUAUGUCAGAUACUGAGUUUAUGACAGACAGGAGUCUUGCUCUGUUGCCCAGGCUGGAGUGCAGUGGUGCGAUAUCGGCCAAUAAACCACAUUUUUGCAUUCAACUACAUGAAAUGUUGAUUAAAGUCUUCGAGAAUAAACAAUAGCAUCAGCAGCAACAACAA